GACGAACGCUGGCGGCGUGCCUAACACAUGCAAGUCGAACGGAAAGGCCCUGCUUUUGUGGGGUGCUCGAGUGGCGAACGGGUGAGUAACACGUGAGUAACCUGCCCUUGACUUUGGGAUAACUUCAGGAAACUGGGGCUAAUACCGGAUAGGAGCUCCUGCUGCAUGGUGGGGGUUGGAAAGUUUCGGCGGUUGGGGAUGGACUCGCGGCUUAUCAGCUUGUUGGUGGGGUAGUGGCUUACCAAGGCUUUGACGGGUAGCCGGCCUGAGAGGGUGACCGGCCACAUUGGGACUGAGAUACGGCCCAGACUCCUACGGGAGGCAGCAGUGGGGAAUAUUGCACAAUGGGCGGAAGCCUGAUGCAGCAACGCCGCGUGCGGGAUGACGGCCUUCGGGUUGUAAACCGCUUUCGCCUGUGACGAAGCGUGAGUGACGGCAAUGGGUAAAGAAGCACCGGCUAACUACGUG
rnacentral:rRNA from 1 species